CCCAGCUUGCUGGGGGGAUUAGUGGCGAACGGGUGAGUAACACGUGAGUAACCUGCCCUUGACUCUGGGAUAAGCCUGGGAAACUGGGUCUAAUACUGGAUACGACUCUUCACCGCAUGGUGGGGGGUGGAAAGCUUUUGUGGUUUUGGAUGGACUCGCGGCCUAUCAGCUUGUUGGUGGGGUAAUGGCCUACCAAGGCGACGACGGGUAGCCGGCCUGAGAGGGUGGACGGCCACACUGGGACUGAGACACGGCCCAGACUCCUACGGGAGGCAGCAGUGGGGAAUAUUGCACAAUGGGCGCAAGCCUGAUGCAGCGACGCCGCGUGAGGGAUGAAGGCCUUCGGGUUGUAAACCUCUUUCAGUAGGGAAGAAGCGAAAGUGACGGUACCUGCAGAAGAAGCGCCGGCUAACUACGUGCCAGCAGCCGCGGUAAUACGUAGGGCGCAAGCGUUAUCCGGAAUUAUUGGGCGUAAAGAGCUCGUAGGCGGUUUGUCGCGUCUGCCGUGAAAGUCCGGGGCUUAACUCCGGAUCUGCGGUGGGUACGGGCAGACUUGAGUGAUGUAGGGGAGACUGGAAUUCCUGGUGUAGCGGUGAAAUGCGCAGAUAUCAGGAGGAACACCGAUGGCGAAGGCAGGUCUCUGGGCAUUAACUGACG
rnacentral:rRNA from 1 species